rnacentral:rRNA from 1 species
CACGUAGGGGACGAGCGUUGUCCGGAUUUAUUGGGCGUAAAGAGCGUGUAGGCGGCCUGACAGGUCUGCUGUGAAAACUCGAGGCUCAACCUCGAGAUGUCGGCGGAAACCGUCUGGCUAGAGUCCGGAAGAGGAGAGUGGAAUUCCUGGUGUAGCGGUGAAAUGCGCAGAUAUCAGGAAGAACACCUAUGGCGAAGGCAGCUCUCUGGGACGGUACUGACGCUGAGACGCGAAAGCGUGGGGAGCGAACAGG